rnacentral:rRNA from 1 species
CUUUACUGUAGCCUGGAAUGGGGUUCGGGCUUUGCUUGCGCAGGAUAGGUGGGAGGCUGAGAAGAUUCUCUUGUGGGAGAGUUGGAGCCAACGGGUGAGAUACCACUCUGGCGAAGCUAGAAUUCUAACCUUCGACCCUUAGCGGGUGAAGAGACAGUUUCAGGUGGGCAGUUUGACUGGGGCGGUCGCCUCCUGAAAUGUAACGGAGGCGCGCAAAGGUUCCCUCAGGCUGGUUGGAAAUCAGUCGAAGAGUGCAAAGGCAUAAGGGAGCUUGACUGCAAGACCUACAAGUCGAGCAGAGACGAAAGUCGGCCUUAGUGAUCCGACGGCGCUGAAUGGAAGGGCCGUCGCUCAACGGAUAAAAGUUA